rnacentral:rRNA from 1 species
UCACGCCGCGUGAGGGAUGAACGCCUCUGGGUCUGUAAACCUCUUUUAUCAAGGAAGAAGAUCUGACGGUACUUGAUGAAUAAGCCACGGCUAAUUCCGUGCCAGCAGCCGCGGUAAUACGGGAGUGGCAAGCGUUAUCCGGAAUUAUUGGGCGUAAAGCGUCCGCAGGCGGUCUUGUAAGUCUGUCGUUAAAGCGUGGAGCUUAACUCCAUUUGAGCGAUGGAAACUGCAAGACUAGAGUGUGGUAGGGGCAGAGGGAAUUCCCGGUGUAGCGGUGAAAUGCGUAGAUAUCGGGAAGAACACCAGUGGCGAAGGCGCUCUGCUGGGCCAUAACUGACGCUCAUGGACGAAAGCCAGGGGAGCGAAAGGGAUUAGAUACCCCUGUAGUCCUGGCCGUAAACGAUGAACACUAGGUGUCGGGGGAAUCGACCCCCUCGGUGUCGUAGCCAACGCGUUAAGUGUUCCGCCUGGGGAGUACGCACGCAAGUGUGAAACUCANAGGAAUUGACGGGGGCCCGCACAAGCGGUGGAGUAUGUGGAUU